rnacentral:rRNA from 1 species
ACAACUUUUGACAACGGAUCUCUUGGCUCUCGCAUCGAUGAAGAACGCAGCGAAAUGCGAUAAGUAAUGUGAAUUGCAGAAUUCAGUGAAUCAUCGAAUCUUUGAACGCACCUUGCGCCCCUUGGUAUUCCGAGGGGCAUGCCUGUUUGAGUGUCAUUAAACUCUCAACC